rnacentral:rRNA from 1 species
GUGUCAGCCGCCGCGGUAAUACGUAGGGACCAAGCGUUGUCCGGAUUUAUUGGGCGUAAAGAGCUCGUAGGCGGCCUGCCACGUCGGAUGUGAAAGCUCAGGGCUUAACCCUGAGAGGCCAUUCGAUACGGGCAGGCUAGAGGUAGGUAGGGGAAAGUGGAAUUCCUGGUGUAGCGGUGAAAUGCGCAGAUAUCAGGAGGAACACCGGUGGCGAAGGCGGCUUUCUGGGCCUUACCUGACGCUGAGGAGCGAAAGCUGGGGGAGCGAACAGGAUUAGAAACCCGGGUAGUCC